rnacentral:rRNA from 1 species
UACGGAGGGUGCAAACGUUGCUCGGAAUUAUUGGGCGUAAAGCGCACGUAGGCGGUUCGCUAUGUCGGAUGUGAAAGCCUCGGGCUUAACCCGAGAAGGGCAUCCGAAACUGGCGGGCUUGAGUACGGAAGAGGGUCUCGGAAUUCCCGGUGUAGAGGUGAAAUUCGUAGAUAUCGGGAGGAACACCAGUGGCGAAGGCGGAGACCUGGGCCGAUACUGACGCUGAGGCGCGAAAGCGUGGGUAGCAAACGGG